rnacentral:pre_miRNA from 1 species
AGGAGGAACAACCACAGUGGCGGUGGCCAGCCCUGGAGUCUUGGAGUCAGCUCCCACAGUAACUACAGAGCUCUCUGUCUGCAGGGGCAUGGAUGCACCAGGGGCGG